rnacentral:SRP_RNA from 1 species
GCUGGGCGUGGUAGCGUGUGCCUGUAGUCCCAGCUAUUCAGGAGGCUGAGGCUAGAGGAUCUCUGAAGUCCAGGAGUUCUGGGCUGUAGUGCGCUAUGCCGAUCGGGUGUCCGCACUAAGUUCGGCAUCAAUAUGGUGACCUCCCAGGAGCAGGGGACCACCAGGUUGCCCUAAGGUGGGGUGAACUGGCCCAGGUCGGAAACGGAGCAGGUCAAAACUCCUGUGCUGAUCAGUAGUGGGAUCGCGCCUGUGAAUAGCCACUGCACUCCAGCCUGGGCAACAUAGCGAGACUCCGUCUCU